CAGCAGCCGCGGUAACACGUAGGGUGCGAGCGUUAAUCGGAAUUACUGGGCGUAAAGCGUGCGCAGGCGGUUUUGUAAGACAGGCGUGAAAUCCCCGGGCUCAACCUGGGAAUGGCGCUUGUGACUGCAAAGCUAGAGUGCGGCAGAGGGGGAUGGAAUUCCGCGUGUAGCAGUGAAAUGCGUAGAUAUGCGGAGGAACACCGAUGGCGAAGGCAAUCCCCUGGGCCUGCACUGACGCUCAUGCACGAAAGCGUGGGGAGCAAACAGGAUUAGAUACCCCGGUAGUCCCUGUCUCUUAUAA
rnacentral:rRNA from 1 species